rnacentral:rRNA from 1 species
CCUACGGGCGGCUGCAGUGGGGAAUAUUGGACAAUGGGCGAAAGCCUGAUCCAGCCAUGCCGCGUGUGUGAAGAAGGCCUUCGGGUUGUAAAGCACUUUCAGUGGGGAAGAAAGCCUUGGGGCUAAUACCCUCGAGGAAGGACAUCACCCACAGAAGAAGCACCGGCUAACUCCGUGCCAGCAGCCGCGGUAAUACGGAGGGUGCGAGCGUUAAUCGGAAUUACUGGGCGUAAAGCGCGCGUAGGCGGUCUGAUAAGCCGGUUGUGAAAGCCCCGGGCUCAACCUGGGAACGGCAUCCGGAACUGUCAGGCUAGAGGGCAGGAGAGGAAGGUAGAAGUCCCGGUGUAGCGGUGAAAUGCGUAGAGAUCGGGAGGAAUACCAGUGGCGAAGGCGGCCUUCUGGACUGACACUGACGCUGAGGUGCGAAAGCGUGGGUAGCAAACAGGAUUAGAUACCCGAGUAGUC